rnacentral:rRNA from 1 species
UACUGCUAUCGGUGUUCGACUAAGCCAUGCUAGUUAAAUGUUCUUCGUGAACAUAGCGGACUGCUCAGUAACACGUGGACAAUCUGCCCUUGGGUUCAGCAUAACCCCGGGAAACUGGGGAUAAUUCUGAAUAGAUCACAUAUGCUGGAAUGCUUUGUGAUUAAAAGAUCCGUCGCCCAAGGAUGGGUCUGCGGCCUAUCAGGUUGUAGUGGGUCUAGAGUACCUACUAGCCAACGACGGGUACGGGUUGUGAGAGCAAGAGCCCGGAGAUGGAUUCUGAGACAUUAAUCCAGGCCCUACGGGGCGCAGCAGGCGCGAAACCUUUACACUGCGGGAAACCGCGAUAAGGGGACACCGAGUGCCAGCAUACAAUGCUGGCUGUCCACAUGUGUAAAUAGCAUGUGAUAGC